GAAAGAGAAAUGGCUGCCCCUGCACCACUUACCGCGAAGGAGGCUCAAGGCUGGGGGGCCCCUCUGCCUUCCAGUGACCGCCCGUGUCACAUCCUGACCCGCUCAGCAGGAGAACACAGCAGGUCCCUCCGACCGCAGUCGGCCUCUCCAGCCUGCCAUGCCUCUGGCCAUGAGGCGACCCGCUGGAGUGAUGGAUUCCCGUCACUACCACCCACAGGGCGAGGGGGUGCAUUGGUCUGCUUGGGCCGCUGUAACAAAAUGCCACAGCCUGGAUGAGUGACUGACAUUGCUUCCCCACCGUUCUGGAGGCUGGAGGCCCGAGAUCGAGGUCCCUGACACUAUUUCAGUGAUGCCAGAGCCCAGGAGGAGUCGACCAAGCCCCAGCGUGGCCAUAAGCACCUUCGCAGGACCACGGAGUCGCUGCAGGUGUUCAGCCCUGUUGAGAGUGGGAGUCGGUGUCGAUGGUCACAGCUCAGUAACUCAUCGUCACCAGCGAGUACCACAGAGCAGACACAACUGCACUUCUCUGUAGAGCCUCCAGUCGAUACUGAGAGCCACUGGGGCGUCUGACACCCAAGGGUGCAGACAUUCACUCCAAGUCCAGAGACCGCGCCCUUUCUAAGGCCCUGUCUCACAGUCGCCCCGUGCUCAUUGUGCCGGAUGUUUCCACAGCCACAGAGACGGUGCGUGAAGGUGG
rnacentral:lncRNA from 1 species